GAUGAAGAACGCAGCGAAAUGCGAUAAGUAAUGUGAAUUGCAGAAUUCAGUGAAUCAUCGAAUCUUUGAACGCACAUUGCGCCCCCUGGUAUUCCGGGGGGCAUGCCUGUCCGAGCGUCAUUACAACCCUCAAGCUCAGCUUGGUGUUGGGCCCCGCCGCCCCGGCGGGCCCUAAAGUCAGUGGCGGUGCCGUCCGGCUCCGAGCGUAGUAAUUCUUCUCGCUCUGGAGGUCCGGUCGUGUGCUCGCCAGCAACCCCCAGUUUUUUUCAGGUUGACCUCGGAUCAGGUAGGGAUACCCGCUGAACUUAAGCAUAUCAAUAAGCGGAGGA
rnacentral:misc_RNA from 1 species